AGUGAACGCUGGCGGUAGGCCUAACACAUGCAAGUCGAACGGCAGCACAGUAAGAGCUUGCUCUUACGGGUGGCGAGUGGCGGACGGGUGAGGAAUACAUCGGAAUCUACUUUUUCGUGGGGGAUAACGUAGGGAAACUUACGCUAAUACCGCAUACGACCUACGGGUGAAAGCAGGGGUUCUUCGGACCUUGCGCGUUUGAAUGAGCCGAUGUCGGAUUAGCUAGUUGGCGGGGUAAAGGCCCACCAAGGCGACGAUCCGUAGCUGGUCUGAGAGGAUGAUCAGCCACACUGGAACUGAGACACGGUCCAGACUCCUACGGGAGGCAGCAGUGGGGAAUAUUGGACAAUGGGCGCAAGCCUGAUCCAGCCAUACCGCGUGGGUGAAGAAGGCCUUCGGGUUGUAAAGCCCUUUUGUUGGGAAAGAAAAGCAGCAGGUUAAUACCCCGCUGUUCUGACGGUACCCAAAGAAUAAGCACCGGCUAACUUCGUG
rnacentral:rRNA from 1 species